rnacentral:rRNA from 1 species
UGGGGAAUUUUGGACAAUGGGCGCAAGCCUGAUCCAGCAAUGCCGCGUGCAGGAUGAAGGCCUUCGGGUUGUAAACUGCUUUUGUACGGAACGAAACGGCUCCUUUUAAUACAAGGGGCUAAUGACGGUACCGUAAGAAUAAGCACCGGCUAACUACGUGCCAGCAGCCGCGGUAAUACGUAGGGUGCGAGCGUUAAUCGGAAUUACUGGGCGUAAAGCGUGCGUAGGCGGCUCGUUAAGUCAGAUGUGAAAGCCCUGGGCUCAACCUGGGAACUGCAUUUGAAACUGGCGAGCUAGAGUUUGAGAGAGGUAAGUGGAAUUUCAGGUGUAGCGGUGAAAUGCGUAGAUAUUAGGAGGAACACCAGUGGCGAAGGCGAUUUUCUGGACUAUAACUGACGUUGAGGAGCGAAAGUGUGGGGAGCAAACAGG